AGUGUACUCCCUCCGUCCGGAAAUACUUGUCCUAAAAAUGGUUAUAUCUAGAUUUAUUUUAAUUAUAGAUACAUCCAUUUUAUCCAUUUCUAGGACAAGUAUUUUAGGACGGAGGGAGUAGCAU
rfam:Triticum aestivum genome assembly, contig: Triticum_aestivum_CS42_TGACv1_scaffold_592591_7BS